rnacentral:rRNA from 1 species
GCACCUCGAUGUCGGCUCGCCCUAUCCUGGGACUGAAGAAGGCCCCAAGGGUUUGGCUGUUCGCCAAUUAAAAGGGUACGCGAGCUGGGUUCAAACCGUCGUGAGACAGGUUGGUCCUUAUCUGGUGCGGGCGUUAAGAUUUGAGGGGGGUUGUCUUUAGUACGAGAGGACCGAGAUGAACAUACCGCUGGUGUAUCAGCUGUCCUGCCAAGGGCACGGCUGAGUAGCUAUGUAUGGUUCCGAUAAGCGCUGAAAGCAUAUAAGCGCGAAACGGGCCCCAAGAUGAGAUCUUAUAGACUCCUGGAAGAUUACCAGGUUGAUAGGGUGCAGAUGCAAGGGCAGCGAUGUCCUCAGUCGAGCACUACUAAUAUGUCUGAAACCGACUUAC